rnacentral:rRNA from 1 species
UAACUCCGUGCCAGCAGCCGCGGUAAUACGGAGGAUGCGAGCGUUAUCCGGAUUUAUUGGGUUUAAAGGGUGCGUAGGCGGCCUGUUAAGUCAGCGGUGAAAUCUAGGAGCUUAACUCCUAAAUUGCCAUUGAUACUGGCGGGCUUGAGUGUAGAUGAGGUAGGCGGAAUGCGUGGUGUAGCGGUGGAAUGCAUAGAUAUCACGCAGAACUCCGAUUGCGAAGGCAGCUUACUAAGGUACAACUGACGCUGAAGCACGAAAGCGUGGGUAUCAAACAGGAUUAGAUACCCUGGUAGUCCACGCAGUAAACGAUGAUAACUGGGCGUAUGCGAUAUACAGUAUGCUCCUAAGCGAAAGCGUUAAGUUAUCCACCUGGGGAGUACGCCGGCAACGGUGAAACUCAAAGGAAUUGACGGGGGCCCGCACAAGCGGAGGAACAUGUGGUUUAAUUCGAUGAUACGCGAGGAACCUUACCCGGGAUUGAAAUGUAGAUGACCGCUCCUGAAAGGGAGUUUUCCUUCGGGACAUCUAUGUAGGUGCUGCAUGGUUGUCGUCAGCUCGUGCCGUGAGGUGUCGGCUUAAGUGCCAUAACGAGCGCAACCCCUGUCUACGGUUGCCAUCAGGUGAUGCUGGGAACUCCGUAGAGACUGCCGUCGUAAGGCGUGAGGAAGGUGGGGAUGACGUCAAAUCAGCACGGCCCUUACAUCCGGGGCGACACACGUGUUACAAUGGUAAGGACAAAGGGCAGCUACCUGGCGACAGGAUGCGAAUCUCUAAACCUUAUCACAGUUCGGAUCGGAGUCUGCAACUCGACUCCGUGAAGCUGGAUUCGCUAGUAAUCGCGCAUCAGCCAUGGCGCGGUGAAUACGUUCCCGGGCCUUGUACACACCGCCCGUCAAGCCAUGGGAGUCUGGAGUACCUAAAGUCCGUAACCGCAAGGGUCGGCCUAGGGUAAUACAGGUGACUGGGGCUAAGUCGUAACAAGGUAGCCGUACCGGAAGGUGCGGCUG